rnacentral:rRNA from 1 species
GUGUCAGCCGCCGCGGUAAGACGAAGGAUCCAAGCGUUGUCCGGAUUUACUGGGUUUAAAGGGUGCGUAGGCGGAAAAUUAAGUCAGUGGUGAAAGCCCGCAGCUCAACUGUGGAACUGCCAUUGAAACUGGUUUUCUUGAAUAUAGCUGAGGCAGAUGGAAUAUAACAUGUAGCGGUGAAAUGCUUAGAUAUGUUAUAGAACACCGAUUGCGAAGGCAGUCUGCUAAACUAUUAUUGACGCUGAGGCACGAAAGCGUGGGGAGCGAACAGGAUUAGAUACCCUGGUAGUCCACGCCCUAAACGUUGAUUACUCGCUGUUGGCGAUAUACUGUCAGUGGCUAAGCGAAAGCAUUAAGUAAUCCACCUGGGAAGUACGACCGCAAGGUUGAAACUUAAAUGAAUUGACGGGG